ensembl:lncRNA
UGAAAUGUGAUAGAGAACCCCAAAGCUUAACAUACAUUUGUUUGUCAAUCCAUAAUCCAUAGCAUGGGAACACUGGGAUUUCAGAGCAAUGAGCCUGCAGUCUUAUUCAUACUUACAUAAAAGGCUACGAAAAGUACAGCAUAGUGUUUCUGGCAAACACUGAUGAAUGUUAUGUCUUGGAGAAGGCACAAAAGAAAAGCUGCCUCCCAGAAGUAGAGGACAUAAACAUGGAGCCGGGAUGCAGUAUUGAAGCAGAAAUUGGAUGAAGAAGACCUGUGUUUGAAUUCAUGUGAAACUGAUGCAGAUUGGAAAUGAGCUGGUUCAUCAACCUCUACAUCAAGGAGGGGAACAAAAAGUUGGAAAACGUACUAAAUGCAAUUGGCUAUUAUGCAGAGGCCAGGAUCAAAAUAAGUGGAGUAAGAAUUUAUCAUUCUGGGGUCAUUCGUGUUGCCACCGACUGACCAACACAGUCAGCUCCAAGUUGGAGUUCCACAAAAGAGUUUUCUGGACUCAUUUUGUUUUGAAACCUCUUCAUCUAGAGAUGUGUGCUGCUUUUGCAGAUUUGAAUAAGUCUUCAGAAACGAAUUUAAUUUUUUCCCAAACUACACUAAUCAAACAGUUACAACUAUACCCAACAUAUAAAGAUACAUGGUAUACUCCUCUGUAUACAUUAGGUAUUGAGAGUAGAACCUAUUAAAGAGAUAGAGAGAUGUGGUGUCGUGGAUAGAGUAUUGAACUAGAACAGUAGAUUCAAAUUCUUCCUCAGUCAUGAACACCCACUGAAGUGGUACACCACACCUUGAAUAUCUUACGGGCCUUGCAAACCCUCCCAAGGUCACCACAAGUGACUUGACAACACAUAAGAAAGAAAGAAAGAAAGAAAGAAAGAAAGAAAGAAAGAAAGAAAGAAAGAAAGAAAGAAAGAAAGAAAGAAAGAAAGAAAGAAAGAAAGAAAGAAAGAAAGAAAGAAAAGGAGAUAAAAACUCCACUGCGGCACUGUCAUGAAUUAAUGCAAAGGGAUUUAAACCCAGACUUUUAAAACUUAAAAUACCAAAGCCCUUAUCCUGGACAGAUGACUUGUAAGUUUUGUUUGUUCGUUUUUUGUUUCAUUUGUGUGUCUUCUUUUUUUCCCCAUUCUCUUUUCCCUCAUCCUCUUAAAAGCUUGGGUUCUUUCAUCCUGAAUUUAACACAACUGUAAAUUCGGGCAAGAUUUUGCUGAUCAUAAUUUUUCUUAUCAAAGGCAAAGUGAAACAAAAUGCUGCUUCAUCCCCAAAGUUUUCACAUGUCCAGAUCUUGUCAUUGGCACUUUAAAGGCGCUUCUAUAUUAACACAAUCUCUACAUUGAAAUGGUAUCCAUCUUAAAGAAGAAAGACAAAAAGAAGCCUUUAGUCACAAGGUAUGCUUUGGAAAGGAAGGAAGCCUUGCUUCACAUAUCAGCUAUAUGUAUUUAAAAAUUUAAACAGUUUUUAAAAGAAUGCUUAUUAUUCACUCAUUAUUCAGGCAUGUUUUAGAUAACCUGGUAGAAUUGCAGAAUACAAACUUUUCUUUUUUGCAAGACCCCUGAGAAGUCUCUAAACAGACAUACCAUGAAUUUGUCAUUUUAUCUUACAUUCCUGAGGUCUCAGGCAGUUCCUAUUAAGGGCAAAGUAAACUGCGCAUUACUUAUGUAAUGACUUGUCCUGUUCUAUGUUUUUGUUAGCAAUGUUUUAUUGAAAGAUUAAGUGUUAUUUUCCAUUACAGUCUUCAAAAUCCCUCUGCCUUUCCCCUUGUAUUUCUCCAACAUUCCUGUCAUGAAAACAAGAGCAUCCAAGAGCAGGAUGAACUCAGACUUUUAAAAAGGGGGGGGGGGUGAGGGAGAGAUACAAACAGAAAGAGAGAUAAAGCGGAUGAAAAAGUGCAGGAAAAUGGCAACAUUUUAAACAGGAGAUACAAUUUACUGUUUGCAUAAUUAAUGAUAGGGAAAUGUGACUAGUGUGCAGCUUAUAUAGUCUGAAGAAUUUCAGUAGUAAUGCUUCUCCUGGAUGGUAAUACUUCCACACUUAUAAUACUUCCACACCUGCCUACUGUUCCAUUUUUUGGGCCAGUGAAAUGCACCUUGAGUUUUGCCGGUUUUUAUUUCAAAAUUCCUAAGCUUGCUUGCUUUUGAAAGAGGAAAGUUUUAUUUCAUGUAGAAAUGAUUUUUCUUUUACCUUUGUACAAAUAUAGCUAUGAGGCAAAACUUGGGACCACAUUACUGCCCAGUUGUUUUGCAAGAUAAAUCCGGUCAAUAUUUAACUUUUUUCUCUUCAUUUCCUUUUCUUUCUUAUUUGUUUUAUUAUUGGAUGUGUUACAAUCAAAUCAAAUAAAUAAAUAAAUAAAUAAAUAAAUAAAUAAAUA